rnacentral:snoRNA from 1 species
UGCUUACCAAUGAUGGUCAAAAUAAAUGUCUGAACAUAUGAUUUCACUGUGAUAUCAGCGUUUUAAACUGAGGUAAGCA